rnacentral:rRNA from 1 species
AGUUAACAAUAUUCAUCCUACACUAAAUAUGAUUAUAACUAAAUAAUACAUAAUAUUGUCAUGUAAUUCAACUAUACCUUCCAUCAUAGGUGUAGCGCUAUCUUGAAAAUAAAUACCCCAAGGACUAGGUGCAUCAAGUAACAUAUAGUUAUUGUAGAUAUUAAACAUAUUUAUAUAAAAAUAAAAAUCUAUCCUUAAUAUAUGUUACCUAAAAAUCAUAACAUAAUCUUAAAUAAGAUAGAAAAGGUAUAAUGACAAAAUAUAAUAAAAGUAAAUUUUAUUAUUUAGUUUUUAAAUUUAAAAAAAAAAAAAGAAGUGACUGCUUUACACUUUCUAAUAAGACAAAAAAAUAAAUUAAAUAGGAUUUGAUUUUAUAGUAGUGUAUGAUAUAAAUAAAUUUUUAUAUAUUUAUAUACCUUAGUUUAUAAAUAUAUGGAAGUAUAUAAAGAGACUAUUAUGGAUUAUGAUGCUAUGUAUUAAAGAGUAAUGAGUUAUGUACCUUUAACAUAUACAUAUAAACUCUUAGAGAAAUUAAGUAAUAAACGAAGCGAAGUGAAAUAUCUUAUUAGCUUCAGGAAAAGAAAUCAAAAGAGAUUCUAUGAUUAAUGUGAAUGAAAGUAGAUAAGCCUAAUAAGUAAAAUGGUAAUAAAACUGUUUGAAUACUAAGGGGAACCUUCCUCUAAGGCUAAAUAUAAUACAUAAGCGACAGAGUACAGUACCGUGAGGGAAACAUAUGAAGUGGUAGUUUUAUAAGCAGCUCAAGCAAAAAGUAAGAGCGUACCUUUUGCAUAAUGGGUCACCAAGUUAACAUUAGAUGCAAGCAUCACCAAAUGCAUAAUUAAACUGAUCAUAAAUUAAUGAGUAGUGUCUAAAGUUAGACCCGAAGCCUGGUGAUCUUACCACAAUCAGGACUAUAAAGGUCCGAACGGGUUAUCGUUGCAUUGAUAUCCGAAGAAUUGUGGUAAGCAAGUGAAAGACAAAGCUGACUAGGAUAGCUGGUUUUCUGCGAAACCUAUAAAAGUAGGCAAUUUGAUAACAUCUUAGCAGGUACAGAACUUCAUCUCAGGCAAGAUGUGUAUUAUAGGAAGAUUCCUAACACAUUUUAUUCUUGUACAGAUCGGGGAAUCGUGAAGAUUUUACCGGUGAGAUUGUAGACUCGGAAUGGCAAAGAUGAAUAUUUAAUUAUCGGACAUAGAAUGAUAAGGUUGUAUGUCAAAAGGAAACAGCCCAGAACAAGAGUUAAGGUUCCAAAGUUAUUGUUAAGUGAAAUUAAGAAGGUUUUAUUUAAGUCGACAAGGGAUAGGCCUAGGAGCAGCCAUAAUUUAAAGAUCUCGUAACAGAGCACUUGUUAAGUUUUAAGAGCAUCGAAAAUUUAACGGAUCUAAAUAAUAUACCGAAACCUUGUCCAUAUUUAAAAAUAACUUAAAAAGAAAGCUUACUAGCUUUGUUAUUUUUAUUUAAUGGGGUAGCAGAACGUUGAGUGUAUACAAGAGCAUUCUUAUUUUAAGAAUAGUUCUAUAACUCAAGUGAGAAUGGUGACAUGAGUAACUAAAAGAGUAUAUUAAAUACUCUCGCCUAAAGCUUAUGGCUAUAUUAUCAAGUAUCGGCCUCUAAGUUUUUAACCUCAAGGUUAUAACGAUGAGUGAAACUUAUUACUAAAUGACAACAUUUCUUAAGUGAGAAAUGUGCUGGAAAAGAUUAGUAAGUACAUAUUUAUAUAAAAUAGAUAUGUAAAUAAACCGUACCUAGAAUCUGUGACAAGUAAGCUAGUAGAGAAUACGAAGGCGUAAAUGAGAUAACAAUCAUAAAGGAACUCGGCAAAUUGACUACCGUAACUUAGGGAUAAGGAGGGCUCAUUAGUCUUGAUUAAUAUCAGGUAAAAAGGAAGAAGCAUAAAAUAAUGUUGUACGACUGUUUAAUUAAAACAAAGCACUUUGCGUAAAAAUGAUAAAUCUAAGUAUAGAGUGUGAUCUCUGCCCGAUGCCGGCUGGUUAACGGAAAUAACUAAAUUGUGAAAGGUUUGGUGUAGAAGGAACCCCGGUUAAUGGCGGCCUUAACGUGAGGGUCCUAAGGUAGCGAAAUGCCUUGGCCGUUAAAUGCGGUCUUGCAUGAAUGACGUAACGAUACAACAGCUGUCUCUAUGAUUGACUCAGUGAAAUUGGAAUAACUGUGCAGAUACAGUUUACCUCUAGGUAGACGAGAAGACCCUAUGCAGCUUUACUGUUACUAAUUAUUGAGUAUAAUAGACAAAUUUUAGAAGAUAAGGUAAUGGGUGGUUAAAUAAGCUAGGGCGCAAAACGCCCUCUAUUUCUCCCUUCAUGGAAUUGAAAUCCCUUUAUUUGGAGAUUAUACUGUAAGCGUAAGCUCUAAAUUUAUUUAGGGUUUACCAAAACCCUGUAAGAGGGACAUUUGCUAGGAGACAGUUUAUGCGGGGCACAGACCCCACAAAGAGUAAAUGGGAGUGUCCAACAAAUAAUUUGCAUAUUAAUUUAUGUAUUUUUAGUUUAUAACACAGACUGAGAACUUAUCUAGGAUUAACAUACUGUAGGUUUAUACCUACACUUGUUAUGAUUAGAGUGGUAACUGAGCAUACAGGCUUCAGUAAAUUUAUGUUUUUAGGUAAGUAGACAACUAUGGUGAAGUUAGUAAUAGUAGUUAAUAAUAUUAUGAAAUAAAGUGUUAACUUCUUCUAAUAUUAUUAGAGAUAUUAUACUGCGCUUAAUCGCGUAAAGUAUAAUAAAAAUUGUAAAACAUAUUGACAGGUUUAACGGCAAAAUCUUGCCUUACUGUUUGAUUAACAACAAAUCUUACAGUCGCGUAAGCGGGGCAUAGGAUCACGAGAUUCAAAAGGAAAGGUCUUGGAUUAUUGGAAAAGCUACGCUAGGGAUGUUUGUCCUUCAAUGUUUAAUAAUAAUAGGACGGCGAUAUAAAAGGCUAGCCUUAAGCCCUCUAAGUCCAUUAUUAAAAACUAUUGAUAAUAUAUUGG